GACGAACGCUGGCGGCGUGCUUAACACAUGCAAGUCGAACGGAAAGGCCCUGCUUUUGUGGGGUGCUCGAGUGGCGAACGGGUGAGUAACACGUGAGUAACCUGCCCUUGACUUUGGGAUAACUUCAGGAAACUGGGGCUAAUACCGGAUAGGAGCUCCUGCUGCAUGGUGGGGGUUGGAAAGUUUCGGCGGUUGGGGAUGGACUCGCGGCUUAUCAGCUUGUUGGUGGGGUAGUGGCUUACCAAGGCUUUGACGGGUAGCCGGCCUGAGAGGGUGACCGGCCACAUUGAGAAUGAGAUACGGCCCAGACUCCUACGGGAGGCAGCAGUGGGGAAUAUUGCACAAUGGGCGGAAGCCUGAUGCAGCAACGCCGCGUGCGGGAUGACGGCCUUCGGGUUGUAAACCGCUUUCGCCUGUGACGAAGCGUGAGUGACGGUAAUGGGUAAAGAAGCACCGGCUAACUACGUG
rnacentral:rRNA from 1 species